CUGAACUCACUUCAGCAGCACAUAUACUAAAACGAUGCAGAGACGAUUAGCACGGCCCCUGCACAAGGAUGAUACGCAAAUUUGUGAAGUGUGCCACAUUUUU
ensembl:snRNA U6 U6 spliceosomal RNA